GACGAACGCUGGCGGCGUGCCUAAUACAUGCAAGUCGAGCGGACCGAACAGGAGCUUGCUCUUGUUCGGUUAGCGGCGGACGGGUGAGUAACACGUGGGUAACCUGCCCGUAAGACCGGGAUAACUCCGGGAAACCGGAGCUAAUACCGGAUAACACCGAAGACCGCAUGGUCUUUGGUUGAAAGGCGGCUUCGGCUGCCACUUACGGAUGGGCCCGCGGCGCAUUAGCUAGUUGGUGAGGUAACGGCUCACCAAGGCGACGAUGCGUAGCCGGCCUGAGAGGGUGACCGGCCACACUGGGACUGAGACACGGCCCAGACUCCUACGGGAGGCAGCAGUAGGGAAUCUUCCGCAAUGGACGAAAGUCUGACGGAGCGACGCCGUGUGAGCGAAGAAGGUCUUCGGAUCGUAAAGCUCUGUUGUUAGGGAAGAAGAAGCGUCGUUCGAACAGGGCGGCGCGGUGACGGUACCUAACGAGAAAGCCCCGGCUAACUACGUG
rnacentral:rRNA from 1 species